UCACCUUUAGGACCUCUCUUCAGCUGGUGCCUGAACAGGGAACCUGAAGGGGGACGUGUGCAGCACCACUGAAGAAGGGCCCACGGAACCGAAGGAAACUUUGGAGCCGGGGAAGCUCAUCCUUCAGGAUUUCUGCAGGAUUGUUUUUCACCGUUCUUCUACUGCCAGAUGAUAGAGAAAAAUUUGCCUGUUCUGUACCUUCAGACAAUCAUGGUUCCUGUGCAAUGCCAUCCAUGGAAAGGGCUUCUGCAAGAUCAAGGCUACCAGUGGUUACCCAGUCACCGGUUGAAACCCAGGCAUGAGCUGAUCCAAGCAACCGCAGUUCGACAUGACCCCACCAAAGAGUUUCACAGAAUGUCCAUUGAGAAACCAAUAAUUGUGCCCAAUGCACCACACCCUCUCCUGAGGAGCACUAGGACCUCUUAGCCUCCUACUCGGGGACAAGUUAAGAGGUUGAUGCAUGCUGCUGAAAUAAUAUUGAUGCAGACUCGCAGCCCACAAACUCCUGCUCACCUUUUCCUUGCGAUGCUCACGGUUAUCACUACUACGUCUGGUGCCAGGGACGAUGAGCCUAUCAAUGGACCGACAGCUCGGGUUAUACAAUGUCCUCCUACAGCCCAUUGUAUACAAACAAAAAGGGGGAGAUGUUGGAGAACAAGAAGCCGAAGGCACCGUAAGGAUGUCUUGAAGGAAAGGGAUGGAGCAGCGAGGAACCGAAAGCAGUUUUAUCCCCAGGACGGAAGGCCGCCGGGACUGCUCAUUUUUUCCAGAAGGACAUCAUAUGAGUGGCCAGGACUGGGGAUAAGAAUGUUUUGUCUGGAACCAGAUGUACUCAUGACCCAGUAUGGAAUACACUGCAGGUGCACAACCUGUCAAGAUGCCACAUACUAUGUUGUAAUGGCUUGCUGUUAUCAGACAAUUUGCAAAAAUAAAAGAGGCUUGAGCCAGGGGACCAAUGCUUUGGCUCCUGGAGCGUCUCA